GGCCCCACCUCCUAAAGAUCCCGGAAUUACCACUGUGGAUCACAAUCCAACAACGGAGGCUUUGGAGGGUCACUCAACAUCCAAAUGAAGGCAACUUCUCUAUGAUGGAGCACAAAUCCUGUUUCUUUGACUGGCAGCUUGCCAGCCGACGUCUGACUCGCCGUGCGUUCUGUGUCUUAUGGUCGCCGCUGUUCCCAGGCCAUGGGCUCCCUGAAGACAGGAUUUCUUCACUGAUACACCCUCAAGAUAGCACCACGGACAUGCACUGUGGAGGCACUGUGUGCAACACUGGAAGUUCAUCCCCAGAAGACUGACACACUAAAGAACCCAGGACAGAAACGUGAACAAAAUACUUUCUUUAGUAUCAAUGUCCAAAUGAAAGCCACCAGGAGG